rnacentral:lncRNA from 1 species
UAAAACUCGUGACGUAACGCGUGACGCAUUGCAACGACAAUUUCGAAUUCGUUCCAUUUCGUAUUGUUGCCGACGCCAUCUUGGAAAUUUAUGCUAUCCGGAAAUUGCGAGUUCUUUUUCCCUCCAUUUUAACAUUUUUCGUACAAAUUUUAAUAAUGAAAACUCGCGUAACAUUUAACUGAUUGUGAGCACUUAAAGCCAGGAGUUGUGUGACAUCAUUUAGGCUUCUGACAUACCAAUAGAGCAGCUAUGUGACAUGUAUGUAUGAAAAUUACUUUGUGGAUAAUCAACUCAAUGGUUAUCUGCUCCACACACCUUCCUUUAGAAAAUGUUGAUAUUGAACUUUGUCACUGCAAUCUUUUAACAAACAUUUCCAUUAUGACAAAGAGCAUGCAACAUUUUCUUCUAUAAAUGGUCAGUGAACUACUUUACUUUACUUUUAUAUUCCCGGGACCAUUUUAAUUUUAAAUUUUGUAAAAAUUGGCAUUCAGAGUUUGAUUUGUCUUGAUGUUCAUUUUGGAUUAAUUAGCCCUAUGUUAAUUAAGCACAAUAAAAUUAGGUUCAAAUUUUCUUUAUCAUAUAUAAUGUAAUAGAGAUAGCUGUAAAAGCAGAUUAUAAAUUAUGAAUUAU